UGAGUUUGAUCCUGGCUCAGAGCUAAUGCUAGCAGCAGGCCUAACACAUGCAAGUUGAGCGGGUAAUCUGUCCAAUAUGGCGAUAGAUUGUUUAGUAGCGUACGGGUGAGUAAUAUAUAAGUGUUUGCCUUGUUCUAUGAGAUAACAUAGGGUGACCUGUGAUAAUAUCAUAUGAUUCCUGUAUCAGGUAAAGAAUUAUUGGAACAAAAUGAGCUUAUAUUUAGAUUAGCUAGUUGGUAAGGGUAAGAGCCUACCUAGGCAAUGAUCUAUAGCUGGUCUGGGAGGACGAACAGCCACAUUGGGACUGAGAUAAGGCCCAGACUCCUUUGGGGGGCAGCAGUGAGGAAUAUUGGACAAUGGGCGCAAGCCUGAUCCAGCUAUGUUGCGUGAGUGAUGACAGUUCCAUAUAAACAUGCUAAGGCACGUUGAAUUGUAAAACUCUUUUAUCAAUGUUCAUAGUGAUAUAAUUGAUGAAUAAGCUCCGGCCAACUCCGUGCCAGCAGCCGCGGUAAUACGGGGGGAGCAAGUGUUGCUCAGUUUAACUGGGCGUAAAGCGCACUAAGGCUGUUUUAUAAGUUAAUAAUCAAACCUUGAAGCUUAACUUCAUGUUGUUAUUAAUACUGUUUAACUAGAAUGCAGUAGGGGUGAACAGAAUUCCAAGUGUAGAGGUUAAAUUCGUUGAUAUUUGGAGGACUACCGGAGGCGAAGGCGGUUCACUAUUCUGUUAUUGACGCUUAUUGUGCGAAAGCGUGGGUAGCAAACAGGAUUAGAUACCCUGGUAGUCCACGCUGUAAACGAUGAGUGCUAGCAGUUAAAGCAUCCUAUAUGGCUUUGAUUGCACAGCUAACGCGUUAAGCACUCCGCCAGGGUAGUACGGUCGCAAGAUUGAAACCCAAAGGAAUUGACGGAGGCCCGUACAAGCGGUGGAGCAUGUGGUUUAAUUCGAAACUACACGAAGAAUCUUACCAGCCCUUGACAUUUUAGGCUAUGAACUGUUUAAUUAAAGUUAAACGGUGUUUCUUCCUUCCCCUCCCUAAAAAAAAGAGAGGGGGCGAGAUAAGCCUUUAACAGGUGCUGCAUGGCUGUCGUCAGCUUGUGUCGUGAGAUGUAUGGUUAGCUCCCAUAACGAGCGCAACCCUUGCCCUUAGUUGCUUAAAGUAAUAAAACCAGCUCUCUAAGGGGACUGCUAAUUUAAAGUUAGAGGAAGGCGAGGAUAACGUCAAGUCAUCAUGGCCCUUAUGGGCUGGGCUACACACGUGCUACAAUGGCAACCACAGAGAGUCGCAAUGCCGCGAGGCUGAGCAAAUCUUUUAAAAGUUGUCUAAGUUCAGAUUGCACCUCUGUAAUUCGAGUGCAUGAAGUUGGAAUCGCUAGUAAUCGCGGAUCAGCAUGCCGCGGUGAAUACGUUCUCGGGCCUAGUACACACUGCCCGUCACGCCAUGGGAGCCAGCUUUGCUUUAAGCCUAUGCAUUAGCAAAGGUAAUAGCAGAACAGGUGACUGGGGCGAAGUCGUAACAAGGUAGCCGUAGGUGAACCUGUGGCUG
rnacentral:rRNA from 1 species